UUUGGGCAUUCAAAUCAACGAUCCACAUCGUUAAAAUUGAUUUAGGGUAUUUAAAGUAUUUAGAAAUAAAAUUUUAUAUUUUUUCGACAUAGUUUACUUUAUGAUCAAAUCAUUUCAAAAUUGUCAAUUUUCAAUGGCUAUUAUAACGAGUUUGGAGUUUAACGGUGUAGAAGAAUCUAAAUUUCUUUAAAUUUUGAUAGAAAAUACUUUAAACUAUAUAGAUUAAGAUUAACAUUCUUGAUCUUGAAUUUAAAAGUCAUAUGCUCAAAUUUUAAAGAUUAUUCAAUUUCCACUGUCUAUUUUGACAUAAUUUAUUUACUAAGUAAACGAUAUCGAAAAAAACUUAAAAUUUAUUCCUAAGAACUACAUAUACCCUAGAUCAUAUUUAACGGUGUGGAUCAUUGAUUUGAAAGCCCUAAGAUCGAAAACAACACUAUAGUACGGGAGCUCCGGUACUAUAGAUAGUAU
rnacentral:lncRNA from 1 species